rnacentral:rRNA from 1 species
AUAUAACUAAGCGGAGGAAAAGAAACUAACCAGGAUUCCCUCAGUAACGGCGAGUGAAGCGGGAAAAGCUCAGACGUAAUCUUCGGAAAUGUCGUCUGUGGAAGUAGGAUGAAUCGUAUCGAUUGACAAAAUCCCUUGGAACAGGGUGCCAUAGAGGGUGAGAGCCCCGUGCGUUGAUUGAGGUAGAUGUAAUCCGCUUUCUAUGAGUCGAGUUGUUUGGGAUUGCAGCUCUAAGUGGGUGGUAAAUUCCAUCUAAAGCUAAAUAUGGGUGGGAGACCGAUAGCGCACAAGUA